UUCUUCUCUCUUUUGUUUUGUUGCUGUUGUUUCUGAGAGUUGAGUUGAGAAAAGGAGAAGGAGAAGUUUACUUGUGAGGUAUCAAAUCUUACCGAAAGUUUGGUGAGACGCGUUUUCUCUGUUGCGAACUGGGAUCAUCGGAGUUUGUAAGUGCGAUCGUGGUUUCAUCGUUUCUCCGAUCGGCACCAAUUUUUGUGGGCAGCUUUGAGACGUCUGGAUCUUGCUUUUCACCGUAGUGAUUAAGAAGUUAACGGGCGUUGUUUGGCUGUUGCAGUCGCGAGGAGAGUUUUUCCUGGUUGUUUUUGAAUUCAAAUCACCUUGUUAAGGUAAAGGCAAAGUGUGAUCCGUGGAAUCAUGGCGAGGAGAGG